GAUGAACGCUGGCGGCGUGCUUAACACAUGCAAGUCGAACGGAAAGGCCGAAGCUUGCUUCGGUCCUCGAGUGGCGAACGGGUGAGUAACACGUGGGUGAUCUGCCCUGUACUUCGGGAUAAGCUUGGGAAACUGGGUCUAAUACCGGAUAUGACAAUCUCUUGGAUGGGGUUGUGGAGAGCUUUUGCGGUAUGGGAUGAGCUCGCGGCCUAUCAGCUUGUUGGUGGGGUAAUGGCCUACCAAGGCGUCGACGGGUAGCCGGCCUGAGAGGGUGUACGGCCACAUUGGGACUGAGAUACGGCCCAGACUCCUACGGGAGGCAGCAGUGGGGAAUAUUGCACAAUGGGCGCAAGCCUGAUGCAGCGACGCCGCGUGGGGGAUGACGGCCUUCGGGUUGUAAACUCCUUUCGCAACCGACGAAGCUUUUGUGACGGUAGGUUGAGAAGAAGCACCGGCUAACUACGUG
rnacentral:rRNA from 1 species